CGGAUGGAGCUGGGCGUGCCGCCUCCAAGCCCCAGGGUAACCCGGGCGGACGCUCCACUGAGCCAGUGGCGACCGGGUGACUAACACAUGCAGUAACCUGCCCCUGACUCUGGGAUAAGCCUUGGAAACGAGGUCUAAUACCGGAUACGUGCCGCUCGGGCAUCCGAUGCGGUUGGAAAGAUUUAUCGGUCAGGGAUGGACUCGCGGCCUAUCAGCUUGUUGGUGGGGUAACGGCCCACCAAGGCGACGACGGGUAGCCGGCCUGAGAGGGCGACCGGCCACACUGGGACUGAGACACGGCCCAGACUCCUACGGGAGGCAGCAGUGGGGAAUAUUGCACAAUGGGCGCAAGCCUGAUGCAGCGACGCCGCGUGAGGGAUGAAGGCCUUCGGGUUGUAAACCUCUUUCAGCAGGGAAGAAGCGCAAGUGACGGUACCUGCAGAAGAAGCGCCGGCUAACUACGUGCCAGCAGCCGCGGUAAUACGUAGGGCGCAAGCGUUGUCCGGAAUUAUUGGGCGUAAAGAGCUCGUAGGCGGUUUGUCGCGUCUGCUGUGAAAACUCGAGGCUCAACCUCGGGCUUGCAGUGGGUACGGGCAGACUAGAGUGCGGUAGGGGAGACUGGAAUUCCUGGGUGUAGCGGUGGAAUGCCCAGAUAUCAAGAGGAACACCGAUGGCGAAAGGCCAGUCUCUGGGCCGCAACUGACCCUGGGGAGCAAAAGCAUGGGGGAGCGAACGUGAUUAAAUGUCCCGGGUAGUCCAUGCCG
rnacentral:rRNA from 1 species